AAUAUAUAUAAGUAAAUCCAAAUAAAUAAAUAAAAGUCUACAUAUGAAGAAUAAAGAAUAACAGCAAUGAUAGAAAUUAUAAGAUGUAUAUUUUUAAUAGUUAUAAUAUUACAUUUUAAGUAAUCAUAAUCAUAAUAAUAAUAAUUAUUGUUUAAACAGUUGAAUGUCAUCAGCCAGGGUUAAGGCUAACGUUAGUCUGUAAUUUGACUAGGAUAAAUUUGUCCAAUAAUCGAUCAUAUCAGUUGUGUUCCCGUGUCUUUACUGCUCUGAAAUCAACUAAAUGUUUUUAACCAUCAGUAUUUGAUUUUAAAGUUUAAACUUUUAAACAAAAGAGAAAAAUAAUGAUAUUUUUAACCAUUCUUCUUUGGAUUUUAUUAAAUUUGAGUUUUAUUUAUAACUGUUAUCGAGUGUCUUUUCUCAGAAAUAUCAUUAAAAUCAUCGGAGCUGGUACUUUUUAAAACUUAAAUGUGCAGUAGUUAAUCACAAGUUUCUCAGGCAGAAAACAAGUUAAAUCAAAACUGACCACCAGGGGGCGCCUUUUCUGUAUUAUGCCUGUUUGGCCCUGAACUCCAGAUCCUGAAGUCUUCUACUCCUCAUGUUUGAUCCUCAGGUGUCUGCAGGAGGACUGGAGAAUUAUGGGACCGACAGAGGACGCCGUGGGUGAGUUGUAUUGUUGGCUCAGGGUCCCCAGGGUCUUCAGGUCCUGAUAGCGUUUGUUGAUGUUUUUUCAGCAGCUGUAGUGUUUGUUUUUUGUGUUUUUAUACUGCAGAUGUAUCAGGACAGAGUUUGUAGUUCCAGCUCAGAUUGUAACUUCUGUUUUUGACCUCGUGGACUUUUUUAAAUCCGGCUCAGGUGUGUAAAGAUCGAUCAGCUCUCAGUGCUGAGGGUGUGAUUCAGUGUUCAGCAGGUUAGUUUGAAGCUUUAAUAUAAAGUUUAAAAGUUUUUACUGGGAAGUUAAAGUCUGUCAGCGCUGAGUGUUUCCUGAGAUAUCAGAGGAGCUUUAAGGUCCAUAAUCUCAGCGUUUAUGUCAUGUUUAAUGAUGGACGAUAUGAGCUAAAAAAAUUAUUAUCAUGAUGAGAUUUUCUAUUCUGGUGAUAACGAUAGAAAUCCUGAUAAAAAAUAUCAUAAUUCUUGUCUGUAUUUUUGACUCAUUUGUCUUGAGAACAUCAGUUGGAGUUUUUAAAUCAGACACUGAACCACAAGUUUGAGUUUUAGGUUACGGAGGAAACUAAAGACUAAAGUCUGAAGACCCUGAAGAGCCGAGCCGACAACACAACCACCAGAGGAGGGGGGUCCUAUGAGUUUAUUCAUAAAAAACACACAAACACACUGUCACUCUGUGGCUCUUUAUUUUAAUCAGGACUCCUCCCCCUGACCCCUGAACCCCCACCCUCCUGUGUCUCCCUCAGGUCAAAGUUCAUCUGCUUUAUGUUGUUUAGUUUUGUUCCUGGUUAAAAUGACAGUUAAGUUUAGAGUCUGAAUUUAUUAUUUAACUUUUUCCCACUGAGUGUUUAAAGACUUAAGUCACGAUUAAAAGUUCAGAUUAGAGACACUUUAAAUAUUUACUUAAAGGCCUUUAGGAAUCAUUAGUCAGCAGUUAAUUUAGAUUAGUUCAGAUCGAACCAUUUUCUUUUUGAAAUUAUCUUUAAUCUUUCUCUAAAUCUUUACUUUGAAUGGAGAUGUUAAUGCACUGUAGUGUUGUGUAGCAUUUCCAUUCAAGGCAAAGAUUUAAAGUCUAAAUAUAAUUUCAAUUAGAAAAUGAUUUAAUCUGAACUUUGAGUCCUGAAAGAAAAGAAGAGAGACACUUAGUUCAUCAUAUUUAACCGACAAAAGACAAAAAUCUGUGCUGAGGACAUCAAACCGGACCGUGGUGAGAGAUCAGAGAAGCUGCUUUACUGAUCAGAGAAAUUUACUGUGACGUCUUUUAAAACGGUAAAAACAAAAACAAGUGAAAAGUUUUCUGUUUGCAUUUAUUUUUGCAUGACUGUCAGAGAAGCUGAUUUAAGUUUCAAGUAUCUUUAAAUUAAUUAAUAAUUGAACCUUCAGCUGUUUUGUGUUAUUAUUCUCGUGUUUAUUACAUCAAAAAAAACGUGGGACUGUUUACUCCAGAGUUUACUCCUUUAUCUAUAGCAGGGAAGUUUUGUGUAGAAACGGCGCCCUCUGGUGGACAGUUAUAUUUGAGGUUUUUUUAGAAAACACCAAAGUUCACGUGAGAAUCAAAGAUUUAAAGAUGAACAAUUCUUGAUAUUCUCUGUGUAAUGUUAUUGAUUUUUUUCCUUUAAAACUUGUUUCAUUUUGUUCAAAUUUAUCUGGUUUCAAAACGACAUUAUAUGAAAAUCCAUUUGUUUUAGCGACACUGUAACUUUAAAUUCAUGACAAAAAAUUAUAUUCCAGGCCGGAAAAAAAACGUCAUAGUAUACUAUGACCAAAAUUUCAGAUUUUAGGGUGAGAAGAAAAUUUCAGAUUUCAGGAUGAAAAAACAUGCUAUUGUGUAGUCUGAUCAAAAUGCCAUUGUAUAUGAUGUUAAAAAUGUCAUAUUUUAGCCCAAAAAAAACCCCAUCAUAUUUGGGUCUGAAAAAAAAAUGUCAUAGUAUACUAUGACCAAAAUUUCAGAUUUUACGGUAAAAAAAAAAAAUCUGAUUUUUGGAUGAAAAAACAUGCAAUGGUGGUGUCUGAACAAAAUGCCAUUGUAUAGGAUGUUAAAAAUGUCAUAUUUUAGUAGGAAUAAAAAAAAUCUUAUUUGAGUCCGAAAAAAAAAAACAUCAUAGUAUACUAUGACCAAAAUUUUAUAUCUUAAUGUGAAAAUUUUUAUUCAGAUUUUUGGAUAAAAAAACAUGCGAUAGUAUUGUCUGAACAAAAUGCCACUGUAUAGGAUGUUUAAAAUGUCAUAUUUUAGUUCCAAAAAAAAAAAAUUAUAUUUGGGUCAGAAAAAAAAACGUCAUAGUAUACUAUGACCAAAAUUUCAGAUUUUAGGGUGAAAUUUUAUUUUCAGAUUUUAGGGUGUAAAAGCCUGCCAUGAUAUUGUCCAAACAAAAUGCCAUAGUAUAGGAUGUUAAAAAUGUCAUAUUUUAGCAGGAAGAAAAAAAAUCUUAUUUGAGUCCGUAAAAAAAAUCAUCAUAGUAUACUGUGACCAAAAUUUCAGAUUUUAGGGUGAAUUUUUUUUUUUCAGAUGCUAAUGAAAAAACAUGUCAAAGUAGUGUCUGAACAAAAUGCCAUUGUAAAGAAUGUUAAAAAUGUCAUAUUUUAGUAGAAAUUAAAAAAAAUUAUAUUUCAGUCGGAAAAAAAAACGUCAUAGUAUACUAUGACCAAAAUUUCAGAUUUUAGGGUGAAAUUUUUUUUUCAGAUAUCAGGAUGAAAAAACAUGCCAUAGUAUUGUCUGACCAAAAUGCCAUAGUUUAGAAUGUUAAAAGUGUAAUAUUUUAGUAGGAAUAAAAAAAAUAAUGUUUGAGUCUGAAAAAAAUCGUCAUAGUAUACUAUGACCAAAAAUUUCAGAUUUUAGGUGAAAUUUUUUUUUCAGAUUUUAGGAUGUAAAAGCCUGCCAUUCUAUUGUCCAAACAAAAUGCCAUAGUUUAGGAUGUUAAAAAUGUCAUAUUUUAGCAAGAAGAAAAAAAAUCUUAUUUGAGUCCGUAAAAAAAAAUCGUCAUCGUAUAUACUAUGACCAAAAUUUCAGAUUUUAGGGUGAAAAUUUUUUUUCAGAUUUUAGAAUGAAAAAACAUGCUAUAGUGUAAUCUGCUCAAAAUGCCGUAGU
rnacentral:lncRNA from 1 species